rnacentral:rRNA from 1 species
UACGUAGGGUGCGAGCGUUAAUCGGAAUUACUGGGCGUAAAGCGUGCGCAGGCGGUUUUUUAAGACAGGCGUGAAAUGCCCGGGCUUAACCUGGGAACUGCAUUUGUGACUGCAUGGCUAGAGUUUGGCAGAGGGGGGUAGAAUUCCACGUGUAGCAGUGAAAUGCGUAGAUAUGUGGAGGAACACCGAUGGCGAAGGCAGCCCCCUGGGUCAAGACUGACGCUCAUGCACGAAAGCGUGGGGAGCAAACAGG